AGUUUGAUCCUGGCUCAGGAUGAACGCUAGCGGCAGGCUUAACACAUGCAAGUCGAGGGGCAUCGGGAGGGAAGCUUGCUUUCCUUGCCGGCGACCGGCGCACGGGUGAGUAACACGUAUGCAACCUGCCCUCUUCAGGGGGACAACCUUCCGAAAGGGAGGCUAAUCCCGCGUAUAUCGGUUUCGGGCAUCCGAGAUCGAGGAAAGAUUCAUCGGAAGAGGAUGGGCAUGCGGCGCAUUAGCUAGACGGCGGGGUAACGGCCCACCGUGGCGACGAUGCGUAGGGGUUCUGAGAGGAAGGCCCCCCACACUGGUACUGAGACACGGACCAGACUCCUACGGGAGGCAGCAGUGAGGAAUAUUGGUCAAUGGGAGAGAUCCUGAACCAGCCAAGCCGCGUGAGGGAAGACGGCCCUAUGGGUUGUAAACCUCUUUUGUCGGAGAACAAAACCCGGGACGUGUCCCGGACUGCGUGUAUCCGAAGAAAAAGCAUCGGCUAACUCCGUGCCAGCAGCCGCGGUAAUACGGAGGAUGCGAGCGUUAUCCGGAUUUAUUGGGUUUAAAGGGUGCGUAGGCGGUCCGUUAAGUCAGCGGUAAAAUUGCGGGGCUCAAUCCCGUCGAGCCGUUGAAACUGGCAGACUUGAGUUGGCGAGAAGUACGCGGAAUGCGCGGUGUAGCGGUGAAAUGCAUAGAUAUCGCGCAGAACUCCGAUUGCGAAGGCAGCGUACCGGCGCCAGACUGACGCUGAGGCACGAAAGCGUGGGGAUCGAACAGGAUUAGAUACCCUGGUAGUCCACGCAGUAAACGAUGAAUGUUGGUUGUCCGGGUCGAAUGAGAUUUGGGCGGCGAAGCGAAAGCGAUAAGCAUUCCACCUGGGGAGUACGCCGGCAACGGUGAAACUCAAAGGAAUUGACGGGGACCCGCACAAGCGGUGGAGCAUGUGGUUUAAUUCGAAGCAACGCGAAGAACCUUACCAGGCCUCGACGUCCGGAUGGCGUAUGGGCAAUGCCAUAUUUCCUUCGGGACAUCCGAGACAGGUGGUGCAUGGUUGUCGUCAGCUCGUGUCGUGAGAUGUUGGGUCAAGUCCCGCAACGAGCGCAACCCUUGCCCUUAGUAGCCAGCACGUAGAGGUGGGCACUCUAGGGGGACUGCCGGGGACAACCCGGAGGAAGGCGGGGACGACGUCAAAUCAUCAUGCCCCUUAUGGCUUGGGCUACACACGUGCUACAAUGGCGCGGACAGAGGGAUGCGAAGUGGCGACAUGGAGCGAACCCCAAAAACCGCGCCCCAGUUCGGAUUGCAGCCUGCAACUCGGCUGCAUGAAGCCGGAAUCGCUAGUAAUCGCGGAUCAGAACGCCGCGGUGAAUACGUUCCCGGGUCUUGCACACACCGCCCGUCAAG
rnacentral:rRNA from 1 species